AUGGGCCAGUUACCCAGACACAGAUUAAGUCUAGUCUUGGACCUUAAAGAACUUUCUAUUGAAACUUCCAUUGAGCAUGCUUUUUAGUCCAGCACUAGACUCAAUCUGUGUCCAGGAAACAGGCCCCAUAUGUAUUACUGACAUGCUUGUCCUUGUUCAGGACUCCACACACUGGCUUCAGAUUGAACCCUUGACUUCCACUGUCCAGGGAGUGACAAUGUUCAGACACAGGACACCCAAAGGGAGUUAUGAGUGCACAGUGUCUGGGCUCCGCUGGCUGUGUGAGAGAGAUGUCAUUCUGAAGUAUCACUUCAGGAACUGGGAACCCUACAGUCACCUUCUGAAAGACAUGCAGUACACACAAGGUGGUCCAUUGCUGGACAUCACUAUGGAGUUAGGUGAACUGGAGGAAGUUCAUCUGCCACACUUUGUCUGUUUAGGGACCAACCCUUCCCUGAGGAAUGAGAUGAAGAUUCUUCAUGUAGAGGAACAUGGAGUGUCUUUAGAGGAAGUGCAUGAGGUCACCAGAUUCCAUGCUAAGAUUCUCCAUCCCAAGUUCUCACUUAUCUCUGUUAUACUGAGAUUACUGUCUUUGAACAUAGAUGUCCACUGUGACGUGGUCCUCUAUCUGGCAGUAAAAAGGUCAACAGUCAUUUCGAGGCUGUACCUGCUCCUCAGAAACUCCAGUCAGAAAGAGGCUGUUCAGGAACGGGAGAAAGAUCAGGUGUCCAAAGGAUUUUCAGAAUUCGUCCUGUCAAGUCCAAACGGGCCCUUAAAGCUGAACAGUUUGUUUGCAUUCAAGAAUCCCCACUCCACUUCCAUCAAUCCAGAGAAGAUUCAGCUGUUACCUGCAGACACCACACCAAGCUGUUGUCAGAUGAUUAUGGGAAACACAGGGGUUGACAUUGAGAUGGAAUUAAUCGGGGAAGAUGAGAGGACAGUAUGGAAAUCAGUGGUAUCAAAAGAUGUAUACAGCAAAGACUCUCAUCCAACAUCAUUAAUACUCAUUGGGAUUCCUGCUGAGGAGUUUCUUCAGAAUCACAGGGCUAUACUCAUUCAGGGGAGUCAAAAACACAAUGCCAAUAGCAGAUGUUCUGCGGUCAAAGGGCAUGAUUGGUGAUGAAGAGUACUCCAGAAUAAAAGCUGAAACAACUGAACAGGACCGAAUGAGAGAACUACUGAGAUCAGUCCUCCCUAAAGGACCAGAAGUGACGGGAGCUUGUCUCAAAGCUCUCAUUGAACAUGAACACCAUCUUGUUAAGUACUUGAGUGAAUCUAGCACCUAAUCUGAAGAUGCUAAGGCUUGUCUCCUAGUCUGUGGACAAAGACACUUCUUCACCUAAUCUGAAGAUGCUGAGGCCUGUCUCCUAGUCUGUGGACAAAGACACUUCUUCACCUAAUCUGAAGAUGCUGAGGCCUGUCUCCUAGUCUGUGGACAAAGACACUUCUUCACCUAAUCUGAAGAUGCUGAGGCCUGUCUCCUAGUCUGUGGACAAAGACACUUCUUCACCUAAUCUGAAGAUGCUGAGGCCUGUCUCCUAGUCUGUGGACAAAGCCACUUCUUCACCUAAUCUGAAGAUGCUGAGGCCUGUCUCCUAGUCUGUGGACAAAGACACUUCUUCACCUAAUCUGAAGAUGCUGAGGCCUGUCUCCUGGUCUGUGGACAAAGACACUUAAAUGAUUGUAAGGGAAAUGUUUAUGUUUGUGCUAUUCUUUUAACAAAUGUCUGUGUUUUAUUCAUGUGCUGUUCUAUAAACUAAUUUGUGUAUUCAUCAAGUGGCUGACUGUACAAAUCCUCACUAUCAGUAGCUGUAAUUUGGCAGUAAGCCCAGACGUUGUUUUGAGAACGAGAUAUCUCAGUUUCAAGGUCUCAGAUUAGAGAGAAGAAGCCUGGUGAGGUGUUGGUCUGUCAAAUGUUAUGAACCAGUAUUGGUCUGUCAAAUG